UACGUAGGGGGCAAGCGUUGUCCGGAAUCAUUGGGCGUAAAGCGCGCGUAGGCGGCCCGGUAAGUCCGCUCUGAAAGUCCAGGGCUCAACCCUGGAAAGCGGGUGGAUACUGCCGGGCUAGAAUCCGGAAGAGGCGAGUGGAAUUCCUGGUGUAGCGGUGGAAUGCGCAGAUAUCAGGAGGAACACCAAUAGCGAAGGCAGCUCGCUGGGACGGUAUUGACGCUAAGGCGC
rnacentral:rRNA from 1 species